GACGAACGCUGGCGGCGUGCCUAAUACAUGCAAGUCGAACGGUCUUUUCUAUGGAAGCUUGCUUCCACUGAGAAGAUAGUGGCGGACGGGUGAGUAACACGUGGGUAACCUGCCCAUAAGAGGGGGAUAACAUCCGGAAACGGGUGCUAAUACCGCAUAGUUUUCUUGAUCGCAUGAUUGAGAAAGGAAAGACGGCCUUUGUGCUGUCACUUAUGGAUGGACCCGCGGCGUAUUAGUUAGUUGGUGAGGUAAUGGCUCACCAAGACGAUGAUACGUAGCCGACCUGAGAGGGUGAUCGGCCACAUUGGGACUGAGACACGGCCCAAACUCCUACGGGAGGCUG
rnacentral:rRNA from 1 species